rnacentral:rRNA from 1 species
UACAGAGGUCUCAAGCGUUGUUCGGAUUCAUUGGGCGUAAAGGGUGCGUAGGCGGCGCGGUAAGUCGGGUGUUGAAAUCUCGGAGCUUAGCUCCGAAACUGCAUUCGAUACUGCGGUGCUUGAGGACUGGAGGAAGGAGACUGGAAUUCAUGGAUGUAGCAGUGAAAUGCGUAGAGAUCGUAAGGAAGGACCAGUGGCGGAAGGCGGGUCUCUGGACAGUUCCUGGA